GGUCUUUUAAUGGAGUAUGCGAGACAGAGACGUUAGCGUCGCCUAGCCGAGUUCUGCUUGGAGCAAACCGAACCUAAUAUGUGGGCACCUUAAAAGUCUUCAGGUCAAAGCAGUGGGUGGUGAAGAACAUCGCCAAAGCCUGCUAACCAGCUGCCAUUACCCAAAACACAAGACAUUCAACCAGUUGAAGAACAUUCCGGAACCUGCCUGGAACAUUCAACCAACACAACAUCCAUAUUCAGUUAGACUGAUGUAGCAUAAUAUAGAAUGCCUAGUAUGCUCACAACUGCAUUGCGGUAUAGACAUUGCUAGCUGUUGUACAUAAUAUUUUGUGUGUACUGACAAGUGACUAAAUGAUUCCAGCUGCAUCUGAAACUAAUAAAGUGUUGACUUCAA